CAGAGCUGUGUUAAGAAAUGGCUCAUCUAUACAACUUACUGUACAUGGUGAGAUACACACCACUGAUUCUCACUUUAGUUACAGGCAGUUUUGCAGAUAAAAUUGGGCCUACAGAUGAAGUUACCAGCAUUAACAUGAAGGAAACAGACACAGUUACUCUGAAAUGUUUAUAUGAGUCAAGCGGCAAUUACAUUUUGCUUUACUGGUACAAACAAUAUCCUAACAGCGCACCACAGUUUUUACUGUAUAAAGGAGCAAGGUCAAGAACUGACCAGAGCACUCCUAAUGAUGAUCGAUUAAAGUCAGAAACAAACAGAGACUCUACUAAACUUACUAUCAGCGGUCUAAAGCUCUCAGAUUCUGCUCUCUAUCAUUGUGCUCUUAGAGACGUAACACAGUGAUACAGAGUCAGUGAAAGGCUUUACAAAAACAUUAUAAUGGCAAAUACACAUGCAAGAGGUUUCUAAAAACCACAUCAACUUUUUAUCU